rnacentral:rRNA from 1 species
GACGAGGGACCUAGCGUUUGUUCGGAAUUACUGGGCGUAAAGGGCUCGUAGGCGGCCAACUAAGUCAGACGUGAAAUCCCUCGGCUUAACCGGGGGAACUGCGUCUGAUACUGGAUGGCUUGAGAUUGGGAGAGGGAUGCGGAAUUCCAGGUGUAGCGGUGAAAUGCGUAGAUAUCUGGAGGAACACCAAUAGCGAAGGCAGCUCGCUGGGACGUGACUGACACUAAGGCGCGAAAGCGUGGGGAGCGAACAGG